rnacentral:rRNA from 1 species
AAUGCAAGUCGAACGAUGAAGUUCCUUCGGGAAUGGAUUAGUGGCGAACGGGUGAGGAACACGUGAGAAACCUGCCUUUCAUUCUGGGAUAACACCGGGAAACCGGUGCUAAUACCGGAUACUCCAUCUUGGCGGCAUCGCCGAGCUGGGAAAAAAUUUUGAUGAAAGAUGGUCUCGCGGCCUAUCAGCUAGUUGGUGAGGUAAAGGCUCACCAAGGCGACGACGGGUAGCCGGCCUGAGAGGGCGACCGGCCACACUGGGACUGAGACACGGCCCAGACUCCUACGGGAGGCAGCAGUAGGGAAUAUUGGGCAAUGGGCGAAAGCCUGACCCAGCGACGCCGCGUGAGGGAUGAAGGUCUUCGGAUUGUAAACCUCUUUCAGUAGGGAAGAAGCGAAAGUGACGGUAUCUACAAAAGAAGCACCGGCUAACUAUGUGCCAGCAGCCGCGGUAAUACAUAGGGUGCAAGCGUUGUCCGGAAUUAUUGGGCGUAAAGAGCUCGUAGGUCGUUUGUUACGUCGGAUGUGAAAACCUGAGGCUCAACCUCAGGCCUGCAUUCGAUACGGGCAAACUAGAGUUUGGUAGGGGAGACUGGAAUUCCUGGUGUAGCGGUGGAAUGCGCAGAUAUCAG